rnacentral:tRNA from 1 species
AGGGGUACAGCUCAGUGGUAGAGCACAUGCUUAGCAUGCACGAGGUCCUGGGUUCAAUCCCCAGUACCUCCA